UACGUAGGGUGCAAGGCGUUGUCCGGAAUUAUUGGGCGUAAAGAGCUCGUAGGCGGCUUGUCGCGUCGUCCGUGAAAACCCACAGCUCAACUGUGGGCUUGCGGUCGAUACGGGCAGGCUAGAGUUCGGUAGGGGAGACUGGAAUUCCUGGUGUAGCGGUGAAAUGCGCAGAUAUCAGGAGGAACACCGGUGGCGAAGGCGGGUCUCUGGGCAAUACUGCGUGAGGAGCGAAGACGUGGGGAGCGAACAGG
rnacentral:rRNA from 1 species